rnacentral:rRNA from 1 species
AUUGAACGCUGGCGGCAUGCCUUACACAUGCAAGUCGAACGGCAGCACGGGUGCUUGCACCUGGUGGCGAGUGGCGAACGGGUGAGUAAUACAUCGGAACAUGUCCUGUAGUGGGGGAUAGCCCGGCGAAAGCCGGAUUAAUACCGCAUACGAUCUACGGAUGAAAGCGGGGGACCUUCGGGCCUCGCGCUAUAGGGUUGGCCGAUGGCUGAUUAGCUAGUUGGUGGGGUAAAGGCCUACCAAGGCGACGAUCAGUAGCUGGUCUGAGAGGACGACCAGCCACACUGGGACUGAGACACGGCCCAGACUCCUACGGGAGGCAGCAGUGGGGAAUUUUGGACAAAGGGCGAAAGCCUGAUCCAGCAAUGCCGCGUGUGUGAAGAAGGCCUUCGGGUUGUAAAGCACUUUUGUCCGGAAAGAAAUCCUUGGCUCUAAUACAGUCGGGGGAUGACGGUACCGGAAGAAUAAGCACCGGCUAACUACGUG